GAGGGUAUAGCUCAGUGGUAGAGUGCACGCUUAGAGUGUACGAAGUCCUGGGUUCAAUCCCCAGUACCUCCA
rnacentral:tRNA from 1 species